UAUGACUUCUGAAGUAAUAAAUUCAUAAGAAAUAUUUACUCUAUUAUGUGCAGUACAACAAUCAGAUAGUACUACAAUUUUGCUGGUAGUGGAAAAUUUCUGUACUGACAGAUGUCCGUUUUUGAUACUAGGUUACUGUAUAGAUGUUGAUUUCACAUAGUUUGAGUGUGGAGUGUGGACUACAGCAUAAUCACUCCAGUCUUCAAGGAGACUGUUCAUUGCAUCUCAUCUUUUUAUAUAUACAAAUGGAACAUGGGAAGACAUGUGAAGAACAAGUAGUACGUCUGAGAGUUGGAGUCUAACCGGAGAGACAGCUAUAGCCAAGAGCAUCACAUCGUUCAUCACAUAACAUGAUGCUCCGCAUUCUCCUGCUGCUGGUCCCAGCAAUGUCCUAUAAAGUAACCGACUUGACCAAAUCUUCUGGCAUUGCACCAGUUCGAGUACUGUACACAACUCCUUCAUUAUAAAUGGUACAUACACAUACAUGCACAACAUAAACAUUACACGACUACAUUUUGAACUAAAACAUAUUGAAGACUCUGUGAACCUUUUAAGAUCUAAGGAUAGUGAUAAGAAUCGUUGUAAUAUUUUACGUUUGUAUUUAGAUGAUAUUAAGUUAAAAUUUGAUCAUAUUCAUAUAAAUAAUCUUAGAAUUAAGAGAGGUCUCAUAAACGGACUUGGUUCCGCAAUUAGCUGGAUUACAGGAAAUAUGGACGCUGACGACAAAGCGAAAUAUGACAAAAUUUUAGAGAAAGCAAACGAAUAUCAAUUAGAGCAUAAUGUCGAAAAUCAAUUGUCAAUCAAUAGAAAUUUGAUACACAAAUUUAACAAUGGGAUUGAUGUCAUUCAUGCCAACAAUGUCAAACUAAAAAAUUAUUUUAAUUCAAUCACCACUCAAUUCACUUCAAUAGAGCUAACUCAACAACAUUCUUUCUUAUUCAACACACUGACUCUCAUAAAAAAUAAAAUAGACGAUAAAUUAUGGAGAGCUUAGAAUUUUGUCGACUAAACAUAAUCCAUUCAAGUAUUCUGUCUAGAAACGAAUUGUCUUUAUUAAUUCAUUCGGCUAAAUUGUCUCAUUUCUAAUGAACCCGAAAUUUUGUGGCAGCUAGGGUCUGCACAUUGUCAUGUGAAAGAUGAUUUCAUUACGUAUUUUAUACAAUUGCCUUUGUAUUCUCAUGCCUAUGAGACAUUUUUUCUCCUAUCUUAUCCAGUCGUAAAAGGAAAUGAAUUGCGAACAAUUGUUGAACAUCCGUCAUUCAUAAUUCGAAAAGAUAACUCAUUGUUUACAGGAGAUUGUGUACUAAUAAGAAAUAAUUAUUAUUGUAAGAAUAUGUCUAGAAUAGUUAAUGUGUAUAAGUCAACUUUUAGACGAUAAGGACCUUCAUGAUUGUAAAUCUUUAGUUAUAAGUGAG